CAGAAGGACAAAGCAGUGAGGGCCAGCAGCGCCUCCUGCCUCUACUUCCCUUGGACCGGCCCCUCCAUUAACGUUGAGCUAGUGCUUGUCAGCGGAAGAAGGCAGACAACAAUAAGUCCUAUCAUCUUGCAUUAAGCCGUAUGCAACUAUUACAUGGCUCAGUUGAUGAGCAAGCUGACGGUGGUUGAGGAGAGGCAGUGAUCGGCGGGCAGGAGCAGGCCAGAGAUGUCUCCGAUGAAGUUACGGCUGGGAUAAAUUGGUGCUGACAGACCACAAUUAGGAGAGCCGUCGUCGCCUGGCAUCAGCUGUCUGACCUGAGUAUUCACACAGAACCACUGGGGCUCUUGAAGAGUUAAAGAGACGGCUCCCCCACUCAGCGUCUCAGCACCUCAGCACCCACUCUGUUCCAUCCGACCAGUUCGACGAACUUCUCCCUCCAUCGACCUACCUAACCAGUCUUCCUCCCUUUCUAUCAAUCCUCACCCAUCCUUCCCAUACCCCCUCAUCCCUCGACCCCUUCUCCUCAUCCCUCGACCCUUUAUCCUCUCCACCCGUUAACCCUUUUCCUCCCACAGCAACGGUCUGUGGAGAGACAGCAGAGGAAGUGACCUGAUGAAGCCCAGGUGUUCCUGGACCCAUCAGAGGACAGAGACAGCUGCAGCAUCAGGACAGUCUGGGUAUCCAAAGGAAGACGCAUCAAGAUGAACACUGACAGCAGAGCUCCAUUACCAUCUCACACUUCAGUAUACUAGAAACCAUUUACCUUGAUACAUGAUCUGUACAGUUUACAUAAAAGUUAUAGCUUUGUUACUUGCAACAUGUGUAACUGGAAUAUGAAUGAAACAUAAAUAAAGUGUUUUACUUUUAAGAA